rnacentral:lncRNA from 1 species
GUUCUCCAACUUUAUGGAUCUGACGACUCCAACUUCAUUUCUCUGAGAUAAAUUUGUUUCUUAUUUUCUUUGCACUCUAACUCUCUGACAAUGUUGUCAGAGCACAACCACCCCACUUCCCUGAUCAGACUAUUGUCAGACCUUCUCUUCGCCAACGGCCAUGUGUUUCUUCCCCCAAACCCUUGCUACCACUUUAGCUCCCCCCCAGCAAAAAAAAGCCAGCUACCAUGUUCUCCAUAGUUGGGCCAUUGGUCCAACCCAAAACCCACCAUCC